rnacentral:rRNA from 1 species
CCUACGGGUGGCUGCAGUGAGGAAUAGUGGUCAAUGGACGAGAGUCUGAACCAGCCAAGUAGCGUGAAGGAUGACUGCCCUAUGGGUUGUAAACUUCUUUUAUAGGGGAAUAAAAUGUUCCACGUGUGGGAUUUUGUAUGUACCAUAUGAAUAAGGAUCGGCUAACUCCGUGCCAGCAGCAGCGGUAAUACGGAGGAUCCGAGCGUUAUGCGGAUUUAUUGGGUUUAAAGGGAGCGUAGGUGGAUUUUUAAGGAAGUUGUGAAAGUUUGCGGCUCAACCGUAAAAUUGCAGUUGAAACUGGCAGUCUUGAGUACAGUCGUGUUGGGCGGCAUUCGUGGUUUAGCGG